GUUGUCGUGGCUGAGUGGUUAAGGCGAUGGACGGGAAAUCCAUUGGGGUUAUCCCGCUCAGGUUCAAAUCCUGGCGAUAACG